rnacentral:rRNA from 1 species
CCAGACUCCUACGGGAGGCAGCAGUGGGGAAUAUUGGACAAUGGGGGGAACCCUGAUCCAGCGACGCCGCGUGAGUGAAGAAGUAUUUCGGUAUGUAAAGCUCUAUCAGCAGGGAAGAAAGAAAUGACGGUACCUGACUAAGAAGCCCCGGCUAACUACGUGCCAGCAGCCGCGGUAAUACGUAGGGGGCAAGCGUUAUUCGGAUUUACUGGGUGUAAAGGGAGCGUAGACGGCAGCGCAAGUCUGGAGUGAAAGCCCGGGGCCCAACCCCGGAACUGCUCUGGAAACUGUGCGGCUAGAGUACUGGAGGGGCAGGCGGAAUUCCUAGUGUAGCGGUGAAAUGCGUAGAUAUUAGGAGGAACACCAGUGGCGAAGGCGGCCUGCUGGACAGUAACUGACGUUGAGGCUCGAAAGCGUGGGGAGCAAACAGGAUUAGAUCCCCGGGUA